rnacentral:rRNA from 1 species
UAGAGUUUGAUCCUGGCUCAGAUUGAACGCUGGCGGCAGGCCUAACACAUGCAAGUCGAGCGGAUGAGGGGAGCUUGCUCCCUGAUUUAGCGGCGGACGGGUGAGUAAUGCCUAGGAAUCUGCCUGGUAGUGGGGGAUAACGUUCCGAAAGGAACGCUAAUACCGCAUACGUCCUACGGGAGAAAGCAGGGGACCUUCGGGCCUUGCGCUAUCAGAUGAGCCUAGGUCGGAUUAGCUAGUUGGUGAGGUAAUGGCUCACCAAGGCGACGAUCCGUAACUGGUCUGAGAGGAUGAUCAGUCACACUGGAACUGAGACACGGUCCAGACUCCUACGGGAGGCAGCAGUGGGGAAUAUUGGACAAUGGGCGAAAGCCUGAUCCAGCCAUGCCGCGUGUGUGAAGAAGGUCUUCGGAUUGUAAAGCACUUUAAGUUGGGAGGAAGGGCAUUAACCUAAUACGUUAGUGUUUUGACGUUACCAACAGAAUAAGCACCGGCUAACUUCGUGCCAGCAGCCGCGGUAAUACGAAGGGUGCAAGCGUUAAUCGGAAUUACUGGGCGUAAAGCGCGCGUAGGUGGUUCGUUAAGUUAGAUGUGAAAGCCCCGGGCUCAACCUGGGAACUGCAUCCAAAACUGGCGAGCUAGAGUACGGUAGAGGGUGGUGGAAUUUCCUGUGUAGCGGUGAAAUGCGUAGAUAUAGGAAGGAACACCAGUGGCGAAGGCGACCACCUGGACUGAUACUGACACUGAGGUGCGAAAGCGUGGGGAGCAAACAGGAUUAGAUACCCUGGUAGUCCACGCCGUAAACGAUGUCAACUAGCCGUUGGAAUCCUUGAGAUUUUAGUGGCGCAGCUAACGCAUUAAGUUGACCGCCUGGGGAGUACGGCCGCAAGGUUAAAACUCAAAUGAAUUGACGGG